GCCUUGGUAGUGUAGUUGGUUUAUCAUAUGAGCCUGUCGAGCUCAUGACCCGGGUUCAAAUCCCGGCCAAGGCG
rnacentral:tRNA from 1 species